rnacentral:tRNA from 1 species
GCCACGGUGGCAGAGCGGUCCAACGCACCCGCCUGCAGAGCGGGAUCUCGUCGGUGAGAAAACAGCCUCGCGGUUUUCGAGCCCUGCCAGUCGCGCGCAGCGUAGCGAGCACGUCUGGCAACGGUUCGAAUCCGACUCGUGGCU